UACAGAGACGGCAAGCGUUGCUCGGAUUCAUUGGGCGUAAAGGGUGCGUAGGCGGUCCGUUAAGUCGGAUGUAAAAUCUCACAGCCUAACUGUGAUAGGUCAUUCGAAACUGGCGGGCUCGAGGACUGGAGAGGAGACUGGAAUGGUUGGUGUAGCGGUGAAAUGCGUAGAGAUCAACCAGAACACCGGUGGCGAAGGCGGGUCUCUGGACAGUUCCUGACGCUGAGGCACAAAAGCCAGGGGAGCAAACGGG
rnacentral:rRNA from 1 species